rnacentral:RNase_P_RNA from 1 species
CGUCGCCGGUGGUCCGCUGACGGUACGGGGUGCAAUUCCCCGCGCUGAGGAAAGUCGGCCCACGCGUCAAAACCCCAACCGCCUUGGAAAGGGCUGCGGAGGCACAGACACGGUCUGCGUGCACGCGCAGGAUGACUCGAAGAGAGGACGUUGCGUGCAGGGCAUUGAAACGGGUCUCCGCUGGGGGCGUGCAAGUCUCUCAGUAGACGCUUAGGCGAAUGCGGAUAAAACAGAAGGCCGCUUACGGCCGGCGACG